GAUGAACGCUGACAGAAUGCUUAACACAUGCAAGUCAACUUGAAUUUGGGUUUUUAACUUAGGUUUGGGUGGCGGACGGGUGAGUAACGCGUAAAGAACUUGCCUCACAGCUAGGGACAACAUUUGGAAACGAAUGCUAAUACCUAAUAUUAUGAUAAUAGGGCAUCCUAUAAUUAUGAAAGCUAUAAGCGCUGUGAGAGAGCUUUGCGUCCCAUUAGCUAGUUGGAGAGGUAACGGCUCACCAAGGCGAUGAUGGGUAGCCGGCCUGAGAGGGUGAUCGGCCACAAGGGGACUGAGACACGGCCCUUACUCCUACGGGAGGCAGCAGUGGGGAAUAUUGGACAAUGGACCGAGAGUCUGAUCCAGCAAUUCUGUGUGCACGAUGAAGUUUUUCGGAAUGUAAAGUGCUUUCAGUUGGGAGAAACAAAUGACGGUACCAACAGAAGAAGUGACGGCUAAAUACGUG
rnacentral:rRNA from 1 species